CCCAUCUGUGUUUGUUUGCAACACGAGACAUCAGUCAAGGAGAGGAGGUCACCUAUAAUUAUGGUGACUCGGAUUGGCCGUGGAGAUGCAAGAAAUCUGAAGGAAAGUCUUCGGACGGGGAGCACGGUGAGGGUCCAUCUACAUCCGAGCCUUCUCAGAGUACUCAAAAGGUGUCAACAAGUAAGAGGCAAGAAAAGAGAUCUCCAGGUGCAUCAACUAGUCUGCUCAAAAGAUAUGAAAAGAUGAUAACAGUGAGCUGAUUGAGUCUGCUCAGAGGGACGAAACUGACCAGCUUGAGACCUCUGUGGAUGGCCUGAAUCCAACAUUCACACAACUUGGUCUCCUCAACUGGGUUGAAGAGAUGAUAACAGUGAGCUGAUUGAGUCUGCUCAGAGGGACGAAACUGACCAGCUUGAGACCUCUGUGGAUGGCCUGAAUCCAACAUUCACACAACUUGGUCUCUUCAACUGGGUUGAAGAGUGUCAAGCAUCACCUGGUGUGCACAACAAUAUCCUCCUUGGACAAGUAUGUUCAAUGUUUGGGACCUCCUUCAAGUGGCGUGGCUAUGAAUGCAGAGAUAAGAUAUUUCGUGGAUUGGUACAAAGUGCGUCUUGGGGUAUUAGGUCGGUAUAUUUGCUGUGUUCAAAUGUACAAACCAUUCUAUAAUGAAACACUUAUGACAAAUAAUCCUUAAUUCACAGCAUAGGAUGCUAUAUCAACUAUUUCCAAAAUUGUGAAGUUUAAGUAUAUCAUUGAAAUUACUUUAAAGUGUUUUAUUUUUGCCUUAUUGGUACUGACAAGAUCUCUUAUGGUUUAAUGCUAGAGGUUCUUUUCCAAUACACCAGCUGUUACACUUAAAAGUGUAAACAUGGGCAACAAUUAUCUCUAUAAAAGGGGACAUUUUUGCAUGUUCAUGUAUUCCAGAUCUCUGUAUUGCUCUGACAGGAACAACUGUGGUAUUUAAACUUGUACUAUAUAUUCAAAAUGUCUUCCAGUUUGUUCUGGCAUCAAUCCUCAGAAGAGUUACAAAUGAUAACCAACACCCAUCACAGGUGAGUGGAACACAGAACAGAGCACAUGUGGUUUG